rnacentral:rRNA from 1 species
AGUCUAGAGUAUUUAUUCUAGAUGUAGCCUGCCCAGUGUGUAUAUUAACGGCCGCGGUACUCUGACCGUGCUAAGGUAGCGUAAUAAGUUGGCUUUUAAUUGAAGUCAGGUAUGAAUGGUUUAAUGGGGUUUAGCUGUCCUUAACUAUUUUAUUUAACUUACUUUUUAGGUGAAAAAGCCUAAAUUAGUCCAAGGGACGAGAAGACCCUUAGAGCUUUACCGUAUGUGUGAAUGUUAGCGGUUAUUGUUGGGGCGACAUAGGAAUAGAUCUUCCUUUAAUUUACAAGCCGAUGCUUUAUAAGUUAGAUUAGCUACCUUAGGGAUAACAGCAUAAUAUUAUAAUUAAGCUUGUGACCUCGAUGUUGGAUUAGGGAUUUUUUUAAUUAGAAGUUAAAAAACUAUGUUCUGUUCGAACAUUAUUCCCU